GUCAACUACCCGCGACUAAAGUCGCAGGCUUGUCUCGCGCAGGCCUAAGACUGGCGUCGGUACAUACGUACUAGCUGAUUAGCCUAAUGUGUUUCGGGCACUAUGUUAUCCGCAAAAAUACAGGCACCUGGGGAUUCUUCCCACGUCCCUCGCUCUGC
rnacentral:sRNA from 1 species